GCCCGUUUGGCAUAGUGGUACUGCGUCUCACUCGUAAUUCACUAUUGUGAUACAUACGCCAUGAGAAGAUCCUCGGUUCGAUUCCGAGAAUGGGCA